rnacentral:tRNA from 1 species
GGAUCAUUAGCUCAAUGGUAGAGCACUUGAGAAUAGCUCAAGAGAUGGUGGUUCAAGUCCAUCAUGAUCCU